UACGUAGGGUGCAAGCGUUAAUCGGAAUUACUGGGCGUGAAAGCGUGCGCAGGCGGUGAUGUAAGACAGAUGUGAAAUCCCCGGGCUCAACCUGGGAACUGCAUUUGUGACUGCAUCGCUGGAGUACGGCAGAGGGGGAUGGAAUUCCGCGUGUAGCAGUGAAAUGCGUAGAUAUGCGGAGGAACACCGAUGGCGAAGGCAAUCCCCUGGGCCUGUACUGACGCUCAUGCACGAAAGCGUGGGGAGCAAAC
rnacentral:rRNA from 1 species